AUGAGAGGGGUCAGUAGUCCCAGGGGUCGGUGGUCCCGGGGGAUUGAUGGUAGCAGGGAUCGGCAGUACCAGGGAUCAGUGGUGGCAGAGGUCAGGGGCCGCAGGGCUCGGUGGCCACAGGAGCCGCUGUGGCAAGGCUUGGUGGUCACAAGAGCUGCUGUGGUGAGGCUCGGUGGUCUCAGGGCUCGGUGGUCACAGGGCUCGGUGGUCUCGGUGCUCUCGGGGCUCGGUGGUCUCGGGCUCGGUGGUCUCGGGGCUCGGUGGUCUCGGGUGCCGCUGUGGUGGGACUCGGUGGUCUCAGGGCUCGGUGGUCUCGGUGGUCUCAGGGCUCAGUGCUCUCGGUGGUCUCGGGUGCCGGUGUGGCGGGGCUCGGUGGUCUCGGGCUCGGUGGGCUCGGGGCUCGGGGCUCGGUGCUCUCGGUGCUCUCGGUGGUCUCGGUGGUCUCGGUGGUCUCGGGUGCCGCUGUGGUGGGGCUCGGUGCUCUCGGGGCUCGGUGGUCUCGGGGCUCUCGGUGGUCUCGGGGCUCUCGGUGGUCUCGGGGCUCGGUGGUCUCGGUGGUCUCGGGUGCCGCUGUGGCGGGGCUCGGUGCUCUCGGUGGUCUCGGGCUCGGUGGUCUCGGUGGUCUCGGGCUCGGUGGUCUCGGUGGUCUCGGUGGUCUCGGUGCUCGGUGGUCUCGGGUGCCGCUGUGGCGGGGCCCGCGGGGUCCCCGAGUCCCGCCCCGCCUGCAAUCCCCGCAGUGCCCACAGGGCGGUGCCCGGGAGCCGCUCCCAGCCCGGCCCGCAUUUUGGGAAGUUUUUAAUAAAAUUCUUCGCUUGGCCGCAAUUCCCGGCGGAUUUUGUGUCCCGGGGAGCUCCGUGUGCUGGCUGCAGGCUGCUCUGCCGCAGGGCUGCAGAGCAGGGCGUGCUGCGGCCGCGCUGCUCGGGUUCCACGGCAAGCAGAGGGCGAGCUGAGGAGAGCGAGGCGAGCCCGGACCAUGAGCUGUGCUUGGAUCCAGUCAUGGAAUCACCAGGGCUGGGAAAGAACUCCGAGGCCAGGAAGUCCAGCCCUGCCAAGCCCACCUCUAACCCAUGUCCCCAAGCGCCGCAUCCACCCAUCCUUUAAAUCCCCCCAACCAUGGUGACUCCACCAUUGCCUUGAAGCCGUGGACAAACCUUUUGGAGAAGAAAUUUCCCCCAAUAUCCCAUUUAAACCUGCCCUGGAGAAACUUGAGGCUGUUCCCUCUCAUCCUUCACUUGUUACCCGGGAGAAGAGGCCGAUUGCCCCGGCUCCAGCCUCUCUGGAGGCGAUUCUCAGGCUGGAGCCGGGAGGUGAUGCACGCCCGGGAUGCAGGGCGAGGAUGCUCCCGCUGCCCCCUCCAGCGCAGGGAACUCGGCGACCUUCCAGGCCUUUUCCAACCUAAACAACUCCGCGAUUCCCCGAAUCCCAGCCCUAAUGGGGCUCAUGUGAUGAGGUUUGCUCUCUGCAGAGCACUCAGCGUUUCCCCGGCGCUGCG
rnacentral:lncRNA from 1 species